GGAAGUGCGCUUGGCUUAA
rnacentral:rRNA from 1 species